rnacentral:ribozyme from 1 species
UUCCCUUUCUGUACUGAGCCUCUACGUGGCGAAAGGGAUCAACAGACUUUCUAGUCUGGCUAAUCAGUA